UGGAACAUCAGAGCUGCGAGAGGGCCAGAGGUCUCAGCUGCAGAUCUUCAUUUCACCUAUGCCUGGGUGCGCCCCACAGUGCUGUGUGCUCGGUGCCACCCCUCAUGGGUCUCUAAGUGACCACUGUGGGCUGGGCCAGGGAGCAGCUGGUGGCUGGGAAGUAAGAUCUGACCUGGACCCUAUCCCACCCACACCGUUUCCUGGCCCACAGGUGAUCUCAGGCAAUGAGGACCCUGAGGGAGUGGUGCUGAAGGACCUUGGGCCCCCCAUGGUUGCCCGACUGGUUCGCUUCUACCCCCGGGCUGACCGGGUCAUGAGUGUCUGUCUGCGGGUGGAGCUCUAUGGCUGCCUCUGGAGGGAUGGACUCCUGUCUUACACCGCCCCUGUGGGGCAGACAAUGUACUUAUCUGAGGCCGUGUACCUCAACGACUCCACCUAUGAUGGACAUACCGUGGGCGGACUGCAGUAUGGGGGUCUGGGCCAGCUGGCAGAUGGAGUGGUGGGGCUGGAUGACUUUAGGAAGAGUCAGGAGCUGCGGGUCUG
rnacentral:sRNA from 1 species